AUCAUAUCACUCAUACGGACCCCAGAAGCAGGCAGGGGUGUCCAUACUUGUAUCAAAUAAAAUAGACUUCAAGCCAAAGUUAAUCAAAAGGGAUAAACAAGGACACUACAUACUGCUCAAGGGAACCAUACACCAACAAGACUUGACAAUCAUUAAUAUAUAUGCCCCAAACAAUGGUGCAGCUACGUUCAUCAAACAAACUCUUCUCAAGUUCAAGAGUCAAAUAGACCACAACACAAUAAUCAUGGGAGAUUUUAACACACCUCUCUCACCACUGGACAGAUCUUCUAAACAAAAGUUGAAUAAAGAAACCAUAGAGCUCAAUAAUACAAUUAAUAAUUUAGACUUAAUUGAUAUAUACAGAAUAUACCACCCAACAUCAAGCGGAUACACUUUCUUCUCAGCAGCACAUGGAUCCUUCUCAAAAAUAGACCAUAUAUUAUGUCACAGGGCAAAUCUUAGCAACUACAAAGGAGUUGAGAUACUACCAUGCAUUUUAUCUGAUCAUAAUGGAAUGAAAUUGGAAAUCAAUAAUAAAAUGAGAAAGGACAAAUCCUACAUCACAUGGAGAUUAAACAAUAUGCUACUAAAUGAACAAAGGGUUACAGAAGACAUAAAGGAGGAGAUAAAAAAUUCUUAGAGGUAAAUGAAAACUCAGACACAACAUAUCGAAAUCUCUGGGACACUAUGAAAGCAGUACUAAGAGGAAAAUUCAUUUCAUGGAGUUCAUUCCUUAAAAGAAGGAAAAGCCAACAAAUAAUGACCUCACACUACACCUCGAAGCCUUAGUAAAAGAAGAACAAAUCAGCAGCAAAUACAGUAGAAGGCAAGAAAUAAUUAAAAUUAGAGGUGAAAUCAAUGAAAUCGAAACAAAAGAAACAAUCGAAAAAAUUGACAAAACUAAAAGUUGGUUCUUUGAAAAAAUAAAUAAGAUUGAUAGACCACUAGCCACGCUAACAAAGAGAAGAAGAGAGAGAACCCAAAUUACUAGCUUACGGGAUGAAAAAGGCAACAUCACAACAGACAAUUCAGAAAUACAGAAGAUAAUUAGAAAUUAUUUUGAAACCCUAUACUCUAAUAAAAUAGAAGAUAGUGAAGGCAUCGAUAAAUUCCUUAAGACAUAUGAACUACCCAGAUUGAGUCAGGAUGAUAUAAACAACCUAAACAGACCAAUAUCAAGUGAGGAAAUAGAAGAAGCCAUCAAAAGACUACCAACCAAGAAAAGCCCAGGACCGGAUGGAUAUACAGCAGAGUUUUACAAGAACUUUAAAGAAGAACUAAUACCAAUACUCUACAAUCUAUUUCAGGAGAUAGAAAAAGAGGGAGAACUUCCAAAUUCAUUCUAUGAGGCCAAUAUCACCCUGAUUCCCAAACCAGAUAAAGACACCUCAAAGAAAGAAAACUACAGACCAAUAUCCCUAAUGAAUUUAGAUGCAAAAAUCCUCAAUAA
rnacentral:lncRNA from 1 species